UACGGAGGGAGCUAGCGUUGUUCGGAAUUACUGGGCGUAAAGCGCACGUAGGCGGCUUUGUAAGUUAGAGGUGAAAGCCCGGAGCUCAACUCCGGAACUGCCUUUAAGACUGCAUCGCUUGAAUCCAGGAGAGGUGAGUGGAAUUCCGAGUGUAGAGGUGAAAUUCGUAGAUAUUCGGAAGAACACCAGUGGCGAAGGCGGCUCACUGGCCCGGUACUGACGCUGAUGUGCGAAAGCGUGGGGAGCAAACAGGG
rnacentral:rRNA from 1 species